rnacentral:rRNA from 1 species
GUGUCAGCAGCCGCGGUAAUACGAAGGGUGCAAGCGUUACUCGGAAUUACUGGGCGUAAAGCGUGCGUAGGUGGUGAGUUAAGUCUGUCGUGAAAGCCCCGGGCUCAACCUGGGAAUGGCGAUGGAUACUGGCUCGCUAGAGUGCGGUAGAGGAGAGUGGAAUUCCCGGUGUAGCAGUGAAAUGCGUAGAGAUCGGGAGGAACAUCAGUUGCGAAGGCGGCUCUCUGGACCAGCACUGACACUGAGGCACGAAAGCGUGGGGAGCAAACAGGAUUAGAAACCCCCGUAGUCC